rnacentral:rRNA from 1 species
GUUGUAUGGUUAAGCGACCAAGCGUAUACGGUGGAUGCCUUGGCAGUCAGAGGCGAUGAAGGACGUAGUAACUUGCGAAAAGCGUUGGUGAGCUAGUAACAAGCAUUUGAGCCAGCGAUGUCCGAAUGGGGAAACCCGGCAGCAUAAGCUGUCAUCAAUACGUGAAUACAUAGCGUAUUGAGGCGAACGAGGGGAACUGAAACAUCUAAGUACCCUUAGGAAAAGAAAUCAACCGAGAUUCCCCAAGUAGCGGCGAGCGAACGGGGAUUAGCCCUUAAGUCUUUGGGGUGUUAGUGGAAUGUGUUGGAAAGCACAGCGGCACAGGGUGAUAGCCCCGUACACGUAAACUAACCAGAGAUGAAAUCGAGUAAGGCGGCACACGUGAUAUGUUGUCUGAAUAUGGGGGACCAUCCUCCAAGGCUAAAUACUCCUGACUGACCGAUAGUGAACCAGUACCGUGAGGGAAAGGCGAAAAGAACCCCUGUGAGGGGAGUGAAAUAGAACCUGAAACCGUAUACGUACAAGCAGUGGAAGCGGUCCUUGAGACCGUGACUGCGUACCUUUUGUAUAAUGGGUCAGCGACUUACAUUUAGUAGCGAGGUUAAGCGAAUAGCGGAGCCGUAGGGAAACCGAGUGUUAACUGCGCGUUUAGUUGCUAGGUGUAGACCCGAAACCCGGUGAUCUAGCCAUGGGCAGGUUGAAGGUUGAGUAACAUCAACUGGAGGACCGAACCGACUAAUGUUGAAAAAUUAGCGGAUGACUUGUGGCUGGGGGUGAAAGGCCAAUCAAACCGGGAGAUAUCUGGUUCUCCUCGAAAGCUAUUUAGGUAGCGCCUCGGACGAACACCUUUGGGGUAGAGCACUGUUAAGGCUAGGGGGUCAUCCCGACUUACCAACCCUUUGCAAACUCCGAAUACCAAAGAGUGCUAUCCGGGAGACAGACGGCGGGUGCUAACGUCCGUCGUCAAAAGGGAAACAACCCAGACCGUCAGCUAAGGUCCCAAAGUAAUUGCUAAGUGGGAAACGAUGUGGGAAGGCUUAGACAGCUAGGAUGUUGGCUUAGAAGCAGCCAUCAUUUAAAGAAAGCGUAAUAGCUCACUAGUCGAGUCGGCCUGCGCGGAAGAUGUAACGGGGCUAAGCAAUUCACCGAAGCUACGGGUACUGAUGCUUGCAUCAGUGCGGUAGAGGAGCGUUCUGUAAGCCGUUGAAGGCGAAGGGGUAACCCACGCUGGAGGUAUCAGAAGUGCGAAUGCUGACAUGAGUAACGAUAAAGGGGGUGAAAAACCCCCUCGCCGAAAGACCAAGGGUUCCUGUCCAACGUUAAUCGGGGCAGGGUGAGUCGACCCCUAAGGCGAGGCUGAAAGGCGUAGUCGAUGGGAAACGGGUUAAUAUUCCCGUACUUCUGCUAACUGCGAUGGAGAGACGGAGAAGGCUAGGCCGGCGCGGCGUUGGUAGUCCGCGUUUAAGGUAGUAGGUGGUGUGCUUAGGCAAAUCCGGGCACACAUACACUGAGAGCUGACGACGAGUCCCCAAGGGGAUGAAGUGGUUGAUGCCAUGCUUCCAGGAAAAUCUUCUAAGCUUCAGGUUAGUAGAAAUCGUACCCCAAACCGACACAGGUGGUCGGGUAGAGAAUACCAAGGCGCUUGAGAGAACUCGGCUGAAGGAACUAGGCAAAAUGGUACCGUAACUUCGGGAGAAGGUACGCUCCUGUUGGUGACGAGACUUGCUCUCUGAGCUGACGGGAGUCGCAGAUACCAGGUGGCUGCAACUGUUUAUCAAAAACACAGCACUGUGCAAAAUCGCAAGAUGACGUAUACGGUGUGACGCCUGCCCGGUGCCGGAAGGUUAAUUGAUUGGGUUAUCUUCGGAGAAGCUCAUGAUCGAAGCCCCGGUAAACGGCGGCCGUAACUAUAACGGUCCUAAGGUAGCGAAAUUCCUUGUCGGGUAAGUUCCGACCUGCACGAAUGGCGUAAUGAUGGCCACGCUGUCUCCAGCCGAGACUCAGUGAAGUUGAAAUUGCGGUGAAGAUGCCGUAUACCCGCGGCUAGACGGAAAGACCCCGUGAACCUUUACUAUAGCUUGGCACUGAACAUUGACCCUACAUGUGUAGGAUAGGUGGGAGACUAUGAAGAUGAGACGCCAGUCUUGUUGGAGUCAACCUUGAAAUACCACCCUUGUAGUGUUGAUGUUCUAACCUGGGCCCCUAAUCGGGGUUAGGGACAGUGCCUGGUGGGUAGUUUGACUGGGGCGGUCUCCUCCCAAAGAGUAACGGAGGAGCACGAAGGUUGGCUAAGUACGGUCGGACAUCGUACGGUUAGUGUAAUGGCAUAAGCCAGCUUAACUGCGAGACAGACACGUCGAGCAGGUGCGAAAGCAGGUCAUAGUGAUCCGGUGGUUCUGAAUGGAAGGGCCAUCGCUCAACGGAUAAAAGGUACUCCGGGGAUAACAGGCUGAUACCGCCCAAGAGUUCAUAUCGACGGCGGUGUUUGGCACCUCGAUGUCGGCUCAUCACAUCCUGGGGCUGAAGUCGGUCCCAAGGGUAUGGCUGUUCGCCAUUUAAAGUGGUACGCGAGCUGGGUUCAGAACGUCGUGAGACAGUUCGGUCCCUAUCUGCCGUGGGCGUUGGAUGAUUGAGGGGAGCUGCUCCUAGUACGAGAGGACCGGAGUGGACGAACCGCUGGUGUUCGGGUUGUCAUGCCAAUGGCAUUGCCCGGUAGCUACGUUCGGAAUCGAUAACCGCUGAAAGCAUCUAAGCGGGAAGCGAGCCCCAAGAUGAGUCAUCCCUAGGGCCUGGAGCCCUCUGAAGAGCCGUUCGAGACCAGGACGUUGAUAGGCAGGGUGUGUAAGCGUUGCGAGGCGUUGAGCUAACCUGUACUAAUGACUCGAGAGGCUUAACCAUACAACCCAGAUGGGUUUU